rnacentral:lncRNA from 1 species
AAUGUUUAUAAAUCUAUUUUGAUGCUUCAGAAUCUCUUUACCUCACUACAACAAAAUUGAGUUUUAGUGGCGAUUAUUUUUUAAAUUCCCGGCAAUUAUAAUUCCCACUAAAUGAUUCCGUGGCAAUUAUGAUAAUUGCCGCUAUUCGUAGAGUCGAUAAAAGUUAUAGCGGCAUUUGUUCCGGCGGUUGGUAAAAAUCUAAAUAAAUGUCGCUAAAUACUAUAUAAUAGCAACUAUUAUAAAUGCCACUAUAAUUAACUAUAAUUGCAGCCAAAAAUAUACUAAAUGUUUGAUAAACAAAGCUUAUAGCAGCAAUUACAAUUCAUAUUAAAAUAUUUGUUGUACAACUAAACACUACACGAAUUAAAAAUUUUAAAAAAUAGUAAUAACCAAAAAGCAUUACUAAUUUGUAUAACAAAUAGUCUUCACUCUCAAAUUACAAUCUCAAUGUUCAAAUUAAAUUUCGGACAUGAAUUCCAACAACAAAAUACUUGUUCGAAAUGUAGCCAAAAAAUAACAAAUUCUAAAUGUCAGUAAACACAUAAUCUUGAAGAAAUCCCAAAUUAUACAUCCUCAAAAUUCAUUGCUCCACUUCGAAAGCAUAUU